AUGCACUGUCUUUGAACCUGUGGAGUCUCCUCUGUGGUUUCAUAGGCCAAGCAACAGUGCAAGACUAAACCAGGCUUGUUAUAACUGGGGCUUCUUGGCAUCUACCCAAGCUGCUCUUUUAAAAGCAAGUCACAGUU